UUCAUGAUUUUCACCAUUACCGUUUCUGUUUGGUUUGGGGGACGAGUAUCGGAUUUGAUUUAUUGGAUGCCCAGAGUCAGUCCCUGGCUUAGGACUUUGGUAAUCACUUUGACGAGCCUUGCCAGGAGAAAGCAUGCAUUAGCCACUUGCAGUUUGCUUCUCCAGAACGAAGAGGGCAGACAAAGAGGGACCUGUGUAACUGCCAAAAUUACAUUCAUUUGGGGAGUCUCUCCCUUUCUUUCCGCUUCAGGAUGGCAUCAGUUCCUUUAUACCAUCAUUUGUUGAAACAGAAAUUGAACUUUUUGGACUCUAGAGGCCCCAAAGUCUGAACCCUGGUAGGUUCUACCCCGCAGUGCAAGUUGGGCCUUGCCCUUCUUCCUUUUCGUUCUUGUUUGGGGGCUAUUUUGAGCAAUUUGAAUUCUUUUGAAUGGAGCUAUUUGUCUGAAAGAAUAUAAACUGAAGACAAGAAAAGAGUAAGCUAGAAAAAGAAAGAAAUACAAGAAGUUAUAGGUAUGGGGAUUUAUUUUGGUAAGAAAAAUUAAAAGGAAAUGUUUCUGCAUGACAAAGUAUCUUGUAUAGGUAAGUAAUAUUUUUGCCCUAAAUUUCAAGAUGGGAAAAAGUGAGACGGGACAAAAUUAAGGAUAUAAACAAGUUGUGGAGAGUCUAAGUAAGUUGCAUAAGGUUUGCAGAAGAUAAAUCUUAGGAAAAUUUUAUGUUUAAUUUAGUUGUCUAUAAUUAAACCAGUUAAAAUCAUAUAUGGGUUUUUCUAAAGUCAAAAUUUAAUGUACUGAUAUAAAAUCAGAAUCUAAUUCUUUUAUGUUUAAAACAAUAAGAGUUUAUUAAAACAUUGAUUUGAUCUUAUUUGUCAAGGUGAUUUCUUGUGUCUGUUAGGUUUUUAUCACUUAGGGAAACUAAGUCUUACAAGAAUUAGGGUUCACUUAAGUACCUAUUUUAAAGUCUUUUAAAUGAUUGCUUUAUAACUCUGAUUAAAUAUACAACUGCUAUGUUAGGUUAUUAUAGUACAUUUGACACCCUAAAUAUAUGCAACUGGAAAUACAUAUAUAUCUGAGGGCUAAAUACAUUUGUCAAAGCUUUGCCUAAACAUUAUGUAAAAGUUUGUGGAAUUAGAGCUAUACAGAUUUAAUAUAGGCAAGUUAACCAAUAAGUGCUCUAUUCAAUACAAUAUACAUUGUAUUUGUACAUUAAACAUAUAAAAUGAACGAUUAAACUUUUGGCAUUUUCACCAUUUGUGUAUAUUAGUGAGUCACUGUCUUAAAAUAAAAAGGACUGGGGUUUAGUUCAGUGAUAAAGUUCCCCUGGGUUCAAUACUCAGUUGAAUACACAUAUUUUAUACACACACACACACACACACACACAAUAUAUAUAUAUAUACACACACACAUACAUACAUACACAUAUGGUACACUUGUACAUCAGGUAAUAAUCUAUUUGUGGUCAUUAGCAUGGUAUUCUAAACCUAUAAGAGGCCUAAAAUUAUCCUUUGAUUUUGUUUGUCGUUAAUCUAGAUAUACCUGUAACUAUAGUUAUCCUAUGGAACCAGGGAUUCCAAAUUUUGCUUCAAAAGUUAAAAUUAAUAUGAAGUUAAUAUGAAGACAUCUAUGUAACUGGGAUGGUAAUCAUUAUUGACUUCUUUGUAUGUGAAAUUUAUUUAUGUUCCCCAAUAGUACAAGCCUUCUAAAAUGUAAAGCUUAGGAGAGCCCUUUACUAUCCAUGGUCUCCAAACUAAAAUCUGUUAGUAGGACAGCCUUUUUUUUUUGCUUAUAUAAAAAUAGAAAGCUUAGACUUAUUUAUGUCAUUUAAUGUUCUUUAACUGGGUAAAAAUGUAAUCAGUAAUUGAUAUAUGGAGAAAUACCUGGGGUAGGAAUUUAAAUGUAUUUUUUAAUGAUAAUAAGGAGGGCCUGAUUUUUUUAAAGACUAGCAAUGUGGAAUAUGGAAAUGUUUUGCUGCUUUUUCUACAAAGGAAGGAAAUUAAAGAGGACUGACUCUUAGCCUUUCUGUUUGAUUCAUGUUUCAGAUGUAAUACUAUUAUGUUAACUUAUAUUCAGAUAGAAAAAUAUAGGAGAAUUUGUUUUCUUUUAUUCCUAAAAACAAUGAUAUUUAGAAAGGGGCAAAGAUUAGCUUCAAAUGUAAAACACUUUAAGAUUCCAAAAGGCCACCCUCACCUGAGGUAAGGCUUUGCCUCUUGCCCUAUUCAAUGUUAGGAUGGCCCCAAAGUAGGCUAAAAUUAAACUCAUUUAAAGUUCUGUUAAAAGGAUAAAUUUGUGUUGUAAAGAUUACUAUCAUCCCAAAAUAGAAAGAAAUAUAUUGCAAAACUACAUAAGGGUUUGGGUAAAUUAUAAAAGGUAUUUAAACAUUGUAACAGGUUUCAAAACAGAAACAGAAUUUGUAAAAGAUUUGUAUGUGAUUGAGUUGACUAUGGUUGUUUUUUUUUUUUGCAGAAGCUAAAAAGAUAUCAAAGAUACACUAGUGUUAUUAAAAAUGUUUCUUGAUUCAGAGCUCUUAUACAAACUGAAUGUUUUUCCUCUUGUAUUUUCCUUGUAAAAUUUUACAACUGUUGUCUGUUGAUGUUUUACAGAAAUACAAUUCCUAACAGAAUAAGCUGACUUUGUUUGAGAUAAGAAGUCAUCACCUUCAAGACAGACAAGAUGUGAUGCUGACUCCAGUACUAAUACUGACCCCAAUUAGAUGGAAGGUAUAACUGUAAAAAUCAAAACUCAUUACUCCCUCUUCAAGACUGGUGGAAAUGGGCUUCUGGGAUUUUCAAAACCAAUAUUUGGUGCCCAAAGACAAACAAAUAAAAGAGCUAUGGAACAAAACCAGCCAAUAUGUUGGCCCUUACCCUCCAAGGUCAGCCAGGACCUAGUUAAUGAUGGGAUCCCUUUAAGGGCCCUGUAUCUCAGAUGAGUCACUCUGAUAGGGGAAAGACUUAGGUGAGUGAUGAGAACAUGAGAUUAAGGGAAUAGUUCCAGAAACUGGGCCCACUGUGCAGACCCAGCAUGCAUUCUUUUCUAAGAAGCAAUUUACCUGCAACCCUGCCUGGCUUACAUGGACAGGAUAUUGUUACAUUCCUCAGAAAACUACCUGUUAUCUGCAGGAGAAAAGCAGAUCUGAAAUAAUGUCCAUAGAAAUACAAGUUACCCUAAAAUAUGUAUGUGGGACUUUUGUGACCCUUACACAGAGCAAAUCCCAGGUAAAAAUAAUUCUCCAUAACCAUAACAUCUGAGAGAACAGGUUUUAAUUAGAACUGGUCAGCAUGAGCCAUAGUGACCUAGAGUGGUCAUUCAUGACAGCUGAGACUGAAAGUCUGAUGUCAUCCUGCUGUCAGUCAGAAGUUAGUAUGUAGAACUGGACAGGACUCUCUGGAAACUCCACUGAACCCCCCCCCCCAAAAAAAAAAGUGCAGGAAAGGUACAUGGUCCCACUCCUCUCUGAGAGAACACACUCUCUCCCUUGAGAGUGUCCCCCCUUUCCUUUUUAAUAAACAUAUGCCUAUUUCUCUGA